GUGACCUAAUUAGAUUCAUACAGAAAUUCCAAAAGGCAACCGGUAAAUAUUACUGUUGGAAUUGGAACAAGGGUAUGGACCGGAAAUGGUAUUGGUACGCACGUGUAAAUUUGUUAUUACAUGGUAGAAAUGUUUGCAGUUUUAUCACGCGCCCCUAUCUCGCGCGUGAGCUAACCCUGACUAUGUCGCUAGUGUAACCUCCGGACCGCACAACCCACGUUAGCUUCGACCAGUCCAGUCAGUCAAGAACUCCGAUUUCCCCCCAACAGUGAUAAUUGCGUGCCUCCUUCCUAACUUGGAACUAGGAUGGAAUUCGAAGGACAAAUCUGGUGUGGCUGAAAAUCAGUUUUUGGUGAAGCAGGGAAGCAAUUCCUCCAAUUGAUUCUUCGCCGCCGCAGCUCAUGCCAUGAAUCUGAGACAACGCCCGCUGCCCACCCGCGGGGGAGGCGCAAACGCGCCGCCGCAGCAACGCCCGCCGCCCCCUCUCCUCUCCGAGCCCUUCAACAUUAUCCCAAUCCACAGCGUCCUCUCCGACCACCCUUCCCUCCGCUAUCCCGAGGUACGCGCCGCCUCCGCUGCCCUCCGCUGUGCCGGCGACCUCCGCAAGCCGCCGUUCGUCCCCUGGCACGAUGGCAUGGACCUCCUCGACUGGCUGGGCCUCUUCUUCGGCUUCCAACCCGACAGCGUCCGCAACCAACGGGAGCAUCUGGUCCUCCACCUCGCCAACGCCCAAAUGCGGCUGCACCCGCCGCCCGCCGCCCCUGACCGCCUCGACCCGGGCAUCCUCCGCCGCUUCCGCACCAAGCUCCUCAAGAACUACGAGUCAUGGUGUUCUUACCUCUGGAAAAGAUCUCAGGUCCGUCUCCCCAAGCGCCACAACCCCGAGCUACAGCGCCGCGAAUUGCUGUACGUAUCUCUCUACUUACUGGUAUGGGGCGAGGCUGCAAAUCUGCGAUUCGCCCCAGAAUGCUUGUGCUAUAUAUAUCAUCACAUGACUAUGGAGCUUAAUUACAUUCUUGAUGACCAUAUGGAUGAGAACACCGGGCAGCUUUUCGUGCCCUCUACUUGCAAGGAGUUCGGUUUCUUGAAUGAUGUAGUAACACCUGUUUAUGUCACUAUCAAGAAUGAGGUAUCCAGGAGUAGGAAUGGGACAGCCCCCCAUUCUGCCUGGAGGAACUAUGACGACAUUAAUGAGUAUUUCUGGAGUAGGAGGUGUUUCAGGAAGAUCAAAUGGCCUUUUGAUUUGUCUGCAAACUUCUUCUCGGCUGAUCGGGAGAGGCGCGUGGGGAAGACGGGGUUUGUCGAGCAGCGGACGUUUUGGAAUGUGUUUAGGAGCUUUGAUAGGUUGUGGGUGUUGCUGAUACUGUAUUUUCAGGCUGCUGCCAUUGUUGCUUGGGCAGGGAGGUCGUAUCCGUGGGAGGCGUUGGGGGAUAGGGACGUGCAGGUGGAGCUGCUUACGGUAUUUAUUACAUGGUCUGGAUUGAGAUUUGUUCAGUCGAUACUUGAUGCAGGUACUCAGUAUAGUUUGGUUACGAGGGAGACGAAGUUGCUUGGUAUCCGAAUGGUUUUGAAAAGUAUGGUAGCUAUGACUUGGGGUGUCGUGUUUGGCGUUUUCUAUGCGAGGAUAUGGAGUCAAAAGAAUUCCGACGGAUUUUGGUCGGACGAGGCGUACCAAAGAAUUUAUAUGUUUCUUAAGGCUGCUGGAGUUUUCGUCAUCCCUGAAACACUUGCUCUGAUCUUAUUCAUCCUCCCAUGGAUUCGAAAUCUGAUUGAGGAGACGGAUUGGCCGGUUUUCUACUAUAUAAUGUGGUGGUUCCAUACCCGAGCAUUUGUUGGCCGAGGGGUCAGGGAGGGGCUUAUCGACAAUGUUAAGUACUCUCUGUUCUGGAUCGUUGUGCUGGCUUCGAAAUUUAUCUUCAGCUAUUUUCUUCAAAUCAGGCCUCUGGUCGGACCUACUAGAGCUCUCUUAAACCUCCGAAAUGUGACAUACCAAUGGCAUGAAUUCUUCGCGAGCGCAAACAGAGUUGCAGUGGUGAUGUUGUGGGCGCCGGUUGUCUUGAUAUAUUUGGUGGAUUUGCAAAUCUGGUACACAGUCGUCUCUUCCGUCGUAGGGUCUAUUAUUGGACUAUUCUCUCAUAUAGGCGAGAUCCGUAACAUCAACCAGCUUCGACUUAGAUUCCAGUUCUUCGCAAGUGCGUUGCAGUUUAAUCUGAUGCCGGAGGAUCAAGUUCCUACUUCGAAGAAAACACUUGUCCAUAAACUGCGCGACGCGAUUCAGCGCUUCAAGCUCCGGUAUGGCCUCGGUCAGCCCUACAAGAAGAUGGAAUCAAGUCAGGUUGAAGCCACUCGGUUCGCAUUGAUAUGGAAUGAAAUGAUUGCUACUUUCAGAGAAGAAGACCUCAUCAGUGACCACGAACUCGAGCUUCUGGAAUUGCCACCGAAUUGUUGGGAUAUCAAAGUAAUACGCUGGCCUUGCGCACUCUUAUGCAACGAACUGCUGCUUGCACUGGAUGAGGCUGUCGAUAUGGCUGAUGCAUCCGACAGGUAUGUGUGGAAUCAUAUAUGCAAAAAUGAGUACAGACGAUGCGCAGUUGUUGAAGCUUACGACAGUGUCAAGUAUUUGCUUCUUGAAAUCAUUAAGUACGACUCGGAGGAACAUUCUAUAGCUUCGAGAAUUUUCGCAGGGGUGGAUAGCAAUGUUCAGUACGAAAAGUUCACGGCAACAUACAACACAUUGGUUCUCCCGAAAAUACACGCGCAGUUAAUAUCUUUGAUUAAGCUUCUCCUUCAACCCGAGAAGAAAAUCGAUAAAGUGGUGGAUGUACUGCAGGCGUUGUAUGAGCUUGCAGUCCGGGAGCUACCGAGGGAGAAGAAGUCGGUGGCUAUGUUGAAACAGGAAGGUUUAUGGCCUAUUGAUGAAGACAACGGGGCCAGGCUGCUGUUUGAGAAUGCUGUCAAUUUACCCGAUGCUGGCGAUGCUUUUUUUAACAGGCAGUUGCGUCGUUUGCUCACGAUUCUCAACUCUCGGGAUUCGAUGCACAAUAUCCCGAGGAAUGUCGAGGCAAGAAGACGGAUUGCCUUCUUUAGCAAUUCGCUGUUCAUGAACAUGCCUCGCGCGCCACACGUCGAGCAGAUGAUGGCCUUCAGUGUCCUGACUCCUUACUACGACGAGGAAGUGCUGUUCGGGAAAGAAGCCCUCAGAAAACAGAAUGAAGACGGCGUCUCCAUCCUGUUUUAUCUGCAGAAGAUCUACGAAGACGAGUGGAAUAAUUUUAUGGAGCGGAUGCGGAGGGAAGGGAUGAAAGACGACUCGGAGAUAUGGAAAAGCAAGUCGAGGGAUCUUCGACAUUGGGCAUCCUACCGUGGCCAGACGUUGUCGCGAACAGUCCGAGGAAUGAUGUACUACUACAGGGCGCUUAAAAUGCUUUCGUUUCUCGACUAUGCUUCGGAGAUGGACAUUCGACAAGGAUCGCAAGAUAUCUAUGGGCAGAUUUCGCAGAGCAAUGGGAAUAUGCAAGGCUUGGGUAACGGUCCGAAUCCGCAGAAUCUUGCGAGGGCUGGAAGCAGCAUCAGCUUGCUUUUUAAGGGAGACGAGUUUGGAACGGCGUUUAUGAAGUACACUUAUGUGGUUGCCUGUCAAAUGUACGGAGUUCAUAAAGCGAAACGCGAUGACCGUGCUGAGGAGAUUUCGAACAUGAUGAAAAACAACGAGGCCCUUCGAGUUGCUUAUGUGGACGAGGUUCAUAAGGGGAGAGAAGAGGUCGACUACUAUUCGGUGUUGGUGAAGUACGAUCAACGAUCGAAAAGCGAAGUCGAAAUCUACCGUGUCAAGCUGCCUGGCCCUUUGAAGCUUGGGGAGGGGAAGCCGGAGAAUCAGAACCAUGCGAUUAUAUUUACGCGCGGCGAUGCUGUGCAGACGAUCGACAUGAACCAGGACAACUACUUCGAGGAGGCGCUCAAGAUGCGCAAUCUGUUGGAGGAGUUUAAGAUCAACCGUGGCAUUCGGAAGCCUUCGAUAUUGGGCGUUCGGGAAAAUAUAUUUACAGGUUCGGUCUCGUCCCUCGCCUGGUUUAUGUCUGCUCAGGAAAUGAGCUUCGUCACGCUGGGGCAACGCGUUCUUGCGAAUCCUCUCAAGGUUAGAAUGCACUACGGCCAUCCUGAUGUCUUCGACAGGUUCUGGUUUUUGACCCGAGGCGGCAUCAGCAAGGCUUCUAGAGUGAUCAACAUCAGCGAAGACAUAUACGCCGGAUUCAACUGCACGUUAAGAGGCGGGAAUGUGUCGCACCAUGAAUACAUCCAAGUAGGUAAGGGACGAGACGUCGGAUUGAAUCAGAUCUCCAUGUUCGAGGCCAAGGUUGCGAGUGGUAACGGCGAGCAGGUCUUGAGCCGGGAUAUAUACAGGUUGGGCCACCGGCUUGACUUCUUCCGAAUGCUAUCUGUGUUCUACACGACGGUGGGAUACUACUACAACAACAUGAUCGUGAUCGUCAUGGUCUAUUCGUUUCUCUGGGGGCGUCUGUACCUCUCCCUCAGCGGCGUCGAGGGCUACGCCAAAAAUGCCAACGACAAUGAGGCGCUUGGUGCGAUUUUGAACCAGCAGUUUGCUAUCCAGAUCGGCAUCUUCACCGCCCUUCCGAUGAUCAUGGAGAAUUCGUUGGAGCGAGGAUUCCUUCCGGCUAUUUGGGAUUUCAUCACGAUGCAGUUCCAGCUCGCUUCGUUUUUCUAUACUUUCUCAAUGGGGACGCGGUCGCAUUUCUUCGGGCGGACAAUACUUCACGGCGGAGCCAAGUACCGAGCAACUGGGCGUGGUUUUGUCGUCGAGCACAAGAGUUUCGCGGAAAAUUAUCGUCUAUAUGCCCGCAGCCAUUUCGUGAAGGCUAUUGAGCUUGGAAUCAUUUUGAUCGUCUAUGCCUCGACCAGCCCGAUCGGUGAAAACACAUUUGUCUACAUUAUUAUGACGAUAUCGAGCUGGUUCCUCGUCGUCUCGUGGAUUAUGGCACCCUUCAUCUUUAAUCCAUCGGGAUUCGACUGGCUGAAAACGGUGUAUGAUUUCGACGACUUCAUCAAAUGGAUAUGGUACAAAGGGAUUUUAGUUAAAGCCGACCAGAGCUGGGAGACGUGGUGGUACGAAGAGCAGGAUCACUUGCGAACGACGGGGCUUUGGGGGAAGUUGCUCGAGAUCAUUCUAGAUCUUCGAUACUUCUUCUUCCAGUACGGGAUUGUUUAUCAUCUGAACAUAGCCGGUAAUAGCAAGAGCAUCGGCGUUUACUUGCUGUCGUGGAUUUAUCUGAUCGUGGUCGUGGGUAUUUAUAUCGUUAUCGCUUAUGCACGCGACAAAUAUGCUGCGAAGGAGCACAUAUACUACAGGCUGGUUCAAUUCCUCGUGAUUGUGUUAACGGUUCUUGUGAUCGUUUUGCUUCUGCAUUUUACUCGGGUGACGGUUAUCGAUUUCAUUAAGAGUCUGCUGGCAUUUGUCCCGACGGGAUGGGGAAUGCUGAUGAUCGCGCAGGUGCUGAGGCCGUUCUUGCAGUCGAGCUUGGUGUGGGAUACUGUGGUGUCGUUGGCUCGAUUGUAUGACAUGAUGUUUGGUUUGAUUGUAAUGGCGCCGCUGGCAUUCUUGUCGUGGAUGCCGGGAUUCCAGGAGAUGCAGACGAGGAUUCUUUUCAACGAAGCGUUCAGUCGGGGACUCCAAAUUUCGAGGAUUUUGACGGGGAAGAAAUCGAACGUCGAUAUCGACAACGACUGAGGCUGAGAUUGAGGAUGAAUGCAAUGAUCUUUGUCUUAGGCAGGCUGUAAGAUGGAUUUUGGGAAGAAGAAAUGAUCAGAUGAGGAAGGAGAAAUGAUGCUUGUUUGUUUGAUUUGAUUUCAUGUAUUAUUUGGGAUUUGUACAUAACGUAGUUACUGUCCCCUGUAUCUCUCUGCUAAGGUUUAUUGAUUAGUGACUCCUGUAGUUUGUUUAUUUGUAUGUAUUACCGCAAUCACAGAUUGUAGCCAUUGGUAAUUAAUUAAUUAGUUUGAAUAUAGAAGUAGCAAAUAAAGUUAUGGAAGUAAUGAUAUGCUUAUUUAAUUAAAUAUCUAUCAUUUACCUACAAUUAUAAUGUCAGCAUCAUUAUCGCUUGAUCGUAAAUAUAAUUUUAUUUUUUAUACUCACACGUCACAACCAAACAAUAAAAUAAAUAAAUAUUUUCUUAAAAAAAAAAAACAAAAAUACAAAAAAAUCUCCAUUCACACUACAGCAAC